rnacentral:rRNA from 1 species
UACUAGCACCCCGAGUGGUCGGGACGUUUAUUGGGCCUAAAGCAUCCGUAGCCGGUUCUACAAGUCUUCCGUUAAAUCCAACUGCUUAACAGGUGGGCUGCGGAAGAUACUAUAGAGCUAGGAGGCGGGAGAGGCAAGCGGUACUCGAUGGGUAGGGGUAAAAUCCGUUGAUCCAUUGAAGACCACCAGUGGCGAAGGCGCCUUGCCAGAACGCGCUCGACGGUGAGGGAUGAAAGCUGGGGGAGCAAACCGG